CAGGGGUAGCAAUACUCGCUGGCGACCGGCAAACGGGUGCGGAACACGUACGCAACAUACCCUUAACUGGGGCAUAGCCUUCUGAAAAGGAGAUUAACACCCCAUAAGAUAGUAGAGUGGCAUCACUUCGCUAUUAAAUAUUUAUAGGUUAGGGAUUGGCGUGCGUCCUAUUAGCUAGUUGGUAGGGUAAUGGCCUACCAAGGCGACGAUAGGUAGCUGGUGUGAGAGCACGACCAGCCACACGGGCACUGAGACACGGGCCCGACUCCUACGGGAGGCAGCAGAGAGGAAUAUUGGUCAAUGGGCGCAAGCCUGAACCAGCCAUGCCGCGUGAAGGAUGAAGGCGUUCUGCG
rnacentral:rRNA from 1 species